rnacentral:rRNA from 1 species
GGGCCCGCACAAGCGGUGGAGCAUGUGGUUUAAUUCGAUGAUACGCGAGGAACCUUACCAGGGCUUAAAUGUAGUAUGACCGGCUUGGAAACAGGCCUUCUCUUCGGAGCAGAUUACAAGGUGCUGCAUGGUUGUCGUCAGCUCGUGUCGUGAGAUGUUGGGUUAAGUCCCGCAACGAGCGCAACCCUUGUCCUUAGUUGCCAGCAUUGAGUUGGGCACUCUAGGGAGACUGCCGGUGAUAAGCCGGAGGAAGGUGGGGAUGACGUCAAGUCCUCAUGGCCUUUAUGUCCAGGGCUACACACGUGUUACAAUGGUGAGGACAGAGAGUCGCCAACCCGCGAGGGUGAGCUAAUCUUCAAACCUCAUCUCAGUUCGGAUCGAAGUCUGCAACUCGACUUCGUGAAGUUGGAAUCGCUAGUAAUCG